UACGUAGGGGGCAAGCGUUGUCCGGAAUCAUUGGGCGUAAAGCGCGUGUAGGCGGCUCGGUAAGUCCGCUCUGAAAGUCCAGGGCUCAACCCUGGGAUGCGGGUGGAUACUGCCGGGCUCGAGUCCGGAAGAGGCGAGUGGAAUUCCCGGUGUAGCGGUGAAAUGCGCAGAUAUCGGGAGGAACACCAAUGGCGAAGGCAGCUCGCUGGGACGUGACUGACGCUGAGACGCGAAGGCGUGGGGAGCGAACGGG
rnacentral:rRNA from 1 species